GGAGAGGGUGAAUUUUGCUCUCAAAAAUAAUUUUUAAAAAAAGGUAAUGGGGCUGAAUUUCUGGAGAGAGAUCAGGAAGAGCCAUGGUUUGAGACAAAAAAGAACCAGACAGAAGACAAAACGCAGGACUUUAGGCGAGCUGACAGUGAGGACCCAGAGAAAAUGACACCAUGUGACCCAGCCUCCUCCAAGACUUCCGGGGCGCAGGACGGGAAACAAGAGUGAUUAAAAACUGCCAUGUAGCCCGAACAGAGUUCAGCCAGAGUUUUCAUCCAGCAUGAAAGUCAUCAGAAUCCCAGAGCCCUCACCUAGCUGGGUGCACGCACAAGUGACAGCUUCAAGAGAUUGUUUGCCGUUGAAUGGAAAACGGCCAGCCUUGAUUAGACAUUGCCGCUCUGCCCAGGGAGGAAGAAUCACUCCCGAGAAUCCAUGAGUCUCCUGCUCUCCUUCAACACGGUCCACCCCCCUCUGCUCUCCCCUCAAAACGAAUAUUAACGAGGCACCCACCCAGUGCCUACUCAUGAAAAACACAGUGCAAGACCAAAAAAAGGUAUUAUCUG
rnacentral:lncRNA from 1 species